CCCCUCUGGAACUGAGACACGGUCCAGACUCCUACGGGAGGCCCNCAGUGGGGAAUAUUGGACAAUGGGCGAAAGCCUGAUCCAGCCAUGCCGCGUGUGUGAAGAAGGUCUUCGGAUUGUAAAGCACUUUAAGUUGGGAGGAAGGGUUGUAGAUUAAUACUCUGCAAUUUUGACGUUACCGACAGAAUAAGCACCGGCUAACUCUGUGCCAGCAGCCGCGGUAAUACAGAGGGUGCAAGCGUUAAUCGGAAUUACUGGGCGUAAAGCGCGCGUAGGUGGUUUGUUAAGUUGGAUGUGAAAUCCCCGGGCUCAACCUGGGAACUGCAUUCAAAACUGACUGACUAGAGUAUGGUAGAGGGUGGUGGAAUUUCCUGUGUAGCGGUGAAAUGCGUAGAUAUAGGAAGGAACACCAGUGGCGAAGGCGACCACCUGGACUAAUACUGACACUGAGGUGCGUAAGCGUGGGGAGCAGACAAGAUUAGAUACCCUGGUAGUCCACGCCGUAAACGAUGUCAACUAGCCGUUGGAAGCCUUGAGCUUUUAGUGGCGCAGCUAACGCAUUAAGUUGACCGCCUGGGGAGUACGGCCGCAAGGUUAAAACUCAAAUGAAUUGACGGGGGCCCGCACAAGCGGUGGGGCAUGUGGUUUAAUUCGAAGCAACGCGAAGAACCUUACCAGGCCUUGACAUCCAAUGAACUUUCUAGAGAUAGAUUGGUGCCUUCGGGAACAUUGAGACAGGUGCUGCAUGGCUGUCGUCAGCUCGUGUCGUGAGAUGUUGGGUUAAGUCCCGUAACGAGCGCAACCCUUGUCCUUAGUUACCAGCACGUAAUGGUGGGCACUCUAAGGAGACUGCCGGUGACAAACCGGAGGAAGGUGGGGAUGACGUCAAGUCAUCAUGGCCCUUACGGCCUGGGCUACACACGUGCUACAAUGGUCGGUACAGAGGGUUGCCAA
rnacentral:rRNA from 1 species